GUAACAUGUGAGUUACGAAUGCUGUUCUCAGUUUAGCUCUAGGGCACAGGGUCACUUUUCUCAGUUAUAAGCUCAGGUGUACCAAAGUGAAUAUCCCAACAAGUUAUGAGCAUAACUGCGAGGAACUAAUUCCACAUGUUCUUAUCUUUCCUAGUCUACAGGCGUGGCUGCAGUGAAUACAACAACAGAGAGGGAUCGCAUAACAAACGUUACAAAGCGUGGGUUGCCAGCUGCAAAGCUUUUCUGGAUGCUGAUUGGAACUGUCUCUCCGCUCCCUUCGUGGAAAAAUAACUUAACAUGAGUUGUUUGGUAUUUUCACCGCACCCCACACUACCAUCUCACAUCGACUGCUAAGAGCUUGUAUGCUGAAAUCUCCCUCUGAGGCCUAAUACUGGAAAAGUGUCUUUCAA